UACGUAGGGAGCAAGCGUUGUCCGGAAUCAUUGGGCGUAAAGCGCGCGUAGGUGGCCUCAUAAGUCCGCUGUGAAAGUCAAAGGCUCAACCUUUGAAAGCCGGUGGAUACUGUGAGGCUCGAGUACGGAAGAGGCGAGUGGAAUUCCUGGUGUAGCGGUGGAAUGCGCAGAUAUCAGGAGGAACACCAAUAGCGAAGGCAGCUCGCUGGGACGUUACUGACACUGAGGCGCGAAAGCGUGGGGAGCGAACAGG
rnacentral:rRNA from 1 species